UGCCAGCAGUCGCGGUUAAACCAAGGAAUUUAGUCAUUCUUUUACGGUAAAAAGACAGUUAGGCAGAAAUGAUAGAGUCAUUAGAUCCUUAGUAAAGGAGUAAAAUCUAUAUACUAAAAGUUAUACCUAAUAUGAUUUGUUUAGGAUGCUGAAUCUGUGAUAACUUUAAGGGAAACUGGGAUUGGAUACCCCAUUAUUUUUAGUUGUAAAUUUAGUUUAGGCUUACCAGAGUACUACGAAUAAAAAGUUUAAAACUCAAAGGGCUUGGCGGUGUUUUAGACCUCUCAGGGGAACCUGUCUCAUAAUCGACAAUCCACGUUAGACCUGACCUUUAAUGGUAAUACAGCCUGUAUACCGUCGUCGUCAGGUAACUUUUAAAAAUACAGGAGUUAGCUCGAGAAUUGCAUUAAUUAAGACGUCAGAUCAAGGUGCAGCUAAUGAAAAGGUGAGGAUGGGUUACAAUUAUAUAUUUAUAACCACGGAAAACACUUGAAAUGAAGUGUCUUAAAGGAGGACUUGAAAGUAAUUUUGAUUAUAUAAAUAAAAUGAAUAGGGCUCUGAAACGUGCACACAUCGCCCGCCACUCU
rnacentral:rRNA from 1 species